rnacentral:rRNA from 1 species
AGCUCCAAUAGCGUAUAUUAAAGUUGUUGCGGUUAAAAAGCUCGUAGUUGGAUUUCUUCUCUUGUCAGCCGGUCCCAGCUUCGCUGGAGUAUCUGGUCAGAUUUGAGAAUCCUCUUGAGGAACGUCGCUGCGCUUGAUUGCGUGGCACGGUAUUCAAGACUUUUACUUUGAGGAAAUUGGAGUGUUCACGGCAGGCAUUCGCCUUGUACACAUUAGCAUGGAAUAAUAAUAUAGGAUCACUAUUCUAUUUUGUUGGUUUCUAGAGUUGUGAUAAUGAUUAAUAGGGACAAUUGGGGGCAUUUGUAUUAACACGUCAGAGGUGGAAUUCUUGGAUUGUGUUACGACAAACUACUGCGAAAGCAUUUGCCAAGGAUGUUUUCA